CCUACGGGUGGCAGCAGUGGGGAAUAUUGCGCAAUGGGCGAAAGCCUGACGCAGCGACGCCGCGUGAGGGAUGAAGGUCUUCGGAUCGUAAACCUCUGUCAGCAGGGAAGAACGGUCACUGUGCUAAUCAGCAGUGAAUUGACGGUACCUGCAAAGGAAGCACCGGCUAACUCCGUGCCCGCAGCCGCGGUAAUACGGAGGGUGCGUGCGUUAAUCGGAAUUACUGGGCGUAAAGCGCUCGUAGGCGGUAUGUCAAGUCAAGGGUGAAAUCCCCGCGCUCAACGUGGGAACUGCCUUUGAAACUGGCAAAGUGGAGUGUGUGAGAGGAUAGUGGAAGUCCAGGGGUAGGAGUGAAAUCCGUAGAUAUCUGGAGGAACAUCAGUGGCGAAGGCGACUAUCUGGCACAUAACUGACGCUGAGGAGCGAAAGCGUGGGGAGCAAACAGGAUUAGAUACCCCAGUAGUC
rnacentral:rRNA from 1 species